rnacentral:rRNA from 1 species
GCAAUACUAGCUGCUGACGAGCGGCGGACGGGUGAGGAAUACGUAGGAACCUGCCCUCAAGCGGGGGAUAACCAAGGGAAACUUUGGCUAAUACCGCAUAAUCUCGAGAGAGUAAAGCUGCCCGCGAGGGUGGCACUUGACGAGGGGCCUGCGUCCGAUUAGCUAGUUGGUGAGGUAAAGGCUCACCAAGGCGGUGAUCGGUAACUGGUCUGAGAGGACGACCAGUCACACUGGGACUGAGACACGGCCCAGACUCCUACGGGAGGCAGCAGUGGGGAAUAUUGGACAAUGGGGGCAACCCUGAUCCAGCGAUGCCGCGUGAGUGAAGAAGGCCCUCGGGUCGUAAAGCUCUUUAGGUUGGGAAGAAGUGUGCCCGGUGAAUAUCCGGGUAUGUUGACGGUACCGACAGAAUAAGCACCGGCAAACUCUGUGCCAGCAGCCGCGGUAAUACAGAGGGUGCGAGCGUUAAUCGGAGUUACUGGGCGUAAAGGGCGCGUAGGCGGUAAGAUGUGUGUGGUGUGAAAGCCCCGGGCUUAACCUGGGAAGUGCAUCGCAAACUAUCUAACUGGAGUAUAUGAGAGGGUGGCGGAAUUUCCGGUGUAGCGGUGAAAUGCGUAGAGAUCGGAAGGAACGUCAAUGGCGAAGGCAGCCACCUGGCAUAAUACUGACGNCGAGGCGCGAAAGCGUGGGGAGCGAACAGGAUUAGAUACCCUGGUAGUCCACGCUGUAAACGAUGAGGACUAAAUGUUGGUAGGGGAACCUAUCAGUAUUGAAGCUAACGCGAUAAGUCUUCCGCCUGGGAAGUACGGCCGCAAGGUUGAAACUCAAAUGAAUUGACGGGGGCCCGCACAAGCGGUGGAGCAUGUGGUUUAAUUCGAUGCAACGCGAAGAACCUUACCUACCCUUGACAUCCUGCGAAUCCCGAUGAGAGUUGGGAGUGCCGAAAGGAACGCAGAGACAGGUGCUGCAUGGCUGUCGUCAGCUCGUGUUGUGAGAUGUUGGGUUAAGUCCCGUAACGAGCGCAACCCUUGUCCUUAGUUGCCAGCAUUUAAGUUGGGGACUCUAAGGAGACUGCCGGUGAGGAACCGGAGGAAGGCGGGGACGACGUCAAGUCAUCAUGGCCUUUAUGGGUAGGGCUACACACGUGCUACAAUGGGGCGUACAGAGGGUCGCGAACCCGCGAGGGGGAGCUAAUCUCAUAAAGCGUCUCGUAGUCCGGAUUGGAGUCUGCAACUCGACUCCAUGAAGUUGGAAUCGCUAGUAAUCGCGAAUCAGCAA